GGAAUCAUUCAGCACUUCCUGUGGAAUACGGCUGCCACCGACGACCACACUGAUUGCAGCAGCACACUGACCUAAUUCUGCCGUUACCAAGGCGAUAAGCAGAUGGACAUGGUGAGUCCCACCCCAAGCGUUGGCUGAGGAGCUGCAGGAACACCCAUCUCUACAGCUGCAUAAUCAAAGUGACAUCAGAGCGGAUGGUCACUGGAACAUGUUUGGGAGUGUGUAGACGCAGCUUUGAUUCCAGAAUAAGAUAAUAUCAUCCAAUUUGUCAUCCCACACCUCAUUACCCUGGAAACAUGGUGGAGGUUGUCUUCCACUGCACAGUACCACGUAAACAGAGGAUCAGGGUGAUCGGACUGUCAGAGCAUGCAUUUGGAGUCAUUGCUGUGGUGGCCAGAGCGGCACAUGUCAACUAUGGACUCACUAAGGGUGAAAUGUAAAGUCACAUACAGGAACUACUUUGAAAUUAAUACAUUCCUCAGUUCUUCCUCAUUCCUAGUGAUUCUAUCUGCUCUCUGAACGUGUUAGAAUUGCAGCACAAUCAGAGCCUGCCUUCAUUGCUAUAAGAAACGUGCAGGAAUACUGGAGCUACACUGACCCUGGACAGGAAGUAGGAUUGUGGUAACUAAGGGGCUCAGGUUAAAGGUCAUUGUCUUCCCAAGAUGCAAGGUGUAAAUUGUUCUGACAACAGCUCUGGCACCCCUGACCCUGCUUCACUACCUUGUCUUCCCUCUCCAGUACCUGAGAAUAAUAAAUGCUUUAAAAAAUAUAUAUUUACCCUGACUCUGAACAUCUGACUCUCACAGUCCAAUACUGGGGAGAUUAUAGGAUUCUCAGGGUUGACUGACCUUUAACCUAGAAGUCCACUGUCCAAUAUGAUUGGGAUGUGGCAAAAAUAUUUGAAAGUCAUCCAUAAUUAAUCUCCUGGACAGGAACCUUCAUAAUCUCUUGUCUGUUUUAAAUAGAACAUCCAUUUCUUAUUUAGGACCUUAUCCAUUUUAUUAUAAGUCUAAAACAAAUCCCCAGUUAGCUUAUCUAUUUCCUGAAUAAAACAUCCCUCAUGUUCCUGUUCUCUCCCUGUUUGUCCAGUUGAUUUGCUGCUCCCAUGCAGGUUCAGCAAGGCCUUACACACCAGAUGGGUAAAAUCCCCUCUAUCCGUGAUGUGAUGCAUUUCCUUACUUCCU